GCGAAAUUCUCCAGUCAUGUAUGGCACUCCUUAAGUUGGGCUAGUCAUAUGCAAAGAACGAGCCCAACGCCUGUCAUCGCACGCAACCUCAAGGAGAACGGUGGCCGAAAAAAAAAAACAAGACAAAGGCUCUGGGGGAAAAAAAAGGACAAAGGCGAAUGGACGUUCACUUUCCCCGUGAUCUUCUGCCUACACGGUCACACGCUUUCCGGUGCUAUUGUUGAUGUUAUUGAAAUCAGAAAUUCUGAUACUUAGAAUACCCUACAUACGCGGUUUUAGUGGUUGCUCUCCAUUUUUUUGUGCUCUCAUUUUAAUACGUUGGUUCGGGUAUCGGUCAAGUGCUUUGUUAGAGCUGGCAAUUUUUAUUUAUCAGAAAAGAAGUCUAGUGGCUGGUUACCAGGGGUACAGAGCUGCAAGGAAAUAAGUUCUGUACGGGAGACAACAGGAUAGAAAUGCAUUUAAAUUUAUUUCCGAGCGCAACAAAGUCACGACUAAUAGCAUAACCAGAGUUCGUGGUUUUAAUACCGCGUCAGGGGAAGCGCAAAUGGACUCAGUUAUUCGAAUGCUUAGCGCAAUUCAUAUCUUUAACCUUUAAUAAGGUAUGAUCUGUUUCUUUUGUUUUCAGCUUCUAUUAUCUAUGCUGGGGUUCUUAUAAUUCGUUUUCCUAUUUUGCGUUCCUUUACAAUUACUGAGAACUGUUGAUGCGCAGCCGGCAUCUUUCGCAUGAUUCGUUGUCCUUCAAGUUUUCAAACACUUAGUGGGGUGAGUUGUGCAUUAGAACUUUUUCACAUCCUCGAGCUUACCAGUCAUUGUCUCUUCUUUUAUCACUGCUUCCUCCUGUGCUAAUUUUGUUUCGUUGCUAGUGCUGUGUUUGGAAGUAAUUACUGUACUUGCUGAUUUAUUAAGCUUACACAAGGGCCUCAUAAUUUCAGUAUCCAUUAUGUUAUCUUGAUUUCAUUCCUGUGAGCUGUGAAUUAAUUUUUUUUAAUGCCCCUCCAGAAAUUCUGAUAUUACUGGCUGCUAUUUGAAGGUAUUUGAUUCAACGAGAUUUAUUUUUUUUUAAAGUACGGAAUCUUUAGUGUCUCAUUCUUUGUUGAUGGUAGUCUCUAUAUAAUGGCCUAAAAUCAAUUUUUAACUGUAGAGUGAAUGAACAAAUUGGUCUUACCCUAUCCUCGAUUUCUAUGUUUUAGAGUUCCCUAUACAAUUUACAAAAAAGGAAAAUUAUCUUUACAGAAUGUUGGAUUGGCCUUUCCACCAUUAAAGGAACUAAGAAGUGAAAUGACAGUAAUUAUCAAUCUGUCUGAUUGGAGUUUUUUGGGUGAGGAUUUUUGCAUCAAGUUUGGCUAGUGGGUUCCCUUAUUCCCGACAUUUUCAGUUGAGUCAUAGGAGAGAUAUAGGUCCUUGUUAUUUUCUCAUAGCAGUUUUUCUUUUGGUUAUUUGUUUGUGUAUGGUCUGGCUCUAAGAAUUGUCAUUAUGGUUUUUCGUCCAAUUUCUCUUCCGGCUGUCUUUAUAAGCCAUGAUUGCAUCGAUUUUCAAGAAAAUCAGAAUUUUUGUACUAGAGUUCAGACGUUUCCUGUUUAUUUGCAUUAAUCAUGUGAGGCCAUAUUAUCUUGGCAUGACAAUGGACUAUGUUAAUAAAUUUUUGUUUGCUUUCUAGUCCUUCAUGUUCUAGGCUUUAACUGUGCAAAUGAAAAUCAAAUGCCUAGUUGGCUAUGUCAUAGUUUGUAGUAAGUUACAUGAGGCUUCUGCAAGAUGAUGACAUUACAAAGAUUAUUCCUGCAUUAGUGUUGAAGUGUGUAUCCAAAUGUUAGGGUCAUAAAUAGUCAUAUGAUGAAUUGAAACCAUCUAAGUGUUUUGUUAGUGAACUUUUUCAUGGUAACAUCCUAUUUUGCUGCCUCAAGUGCAUCACGUUAUCAAAUCUCAUUUCUUACUUGACAUGUUGAACAAAAUAUUCUUGGACUCAACGAAAGAGACUUAGACAGUGGGCAGUUGCUCAUAUAGGGUAAAUUCUAUGCCAUUACAUGUAUCUAUCAUCUUGAAGAUAAUUCUUUGGUGUAUUUUGCACCAAGUUUAAAUAGUAGUCAGUGAUGAUGUCUUAUCAUGUUAUUGUUGUUGUCUUGAUUGGGACCUCAUUCAUGAUAAGGUCACAUCUUUUGGGACUUAUUUAUAGUACACGUUCAUCUCUUACUUGACAUAUUGAACAGAAUAUUCUUGGACUCAACAAAAGAGACUUAAACAAUGAGCAGUUGCGCAUAUAGGGUAAAUUUUAUCCCUUUAGAUGCACCUAUCAUUUUGAAGAUGAUUCUUUAUUGUAUUUUGCACCAGGUUGAAGUGAUCUUCAGUAAUGAUAUCUCAUCAUAUUAUUGCUGUUGACUUGCUUUUCCUUAUUCAUUUGGUGGGCAUAGCUUGGGUGAGUCAAUAAUAUACAUCAGUUGUCUUGUGAGUCAUAUGCUUGGAUGUUGUAAUAGAUAUUCUCAUCCUAAUAUGUUCUCAUGUAGGGGUUUGGUCUUAUAAUAUCUCUGAUAUGUAAGCCUUAACUUAAAAAAAUAGACACAUUUAUGGUUUGUUGCUGAAAUUUUUAAUAUUUCACCAACAUCGUAUUUAAUAUUCCAAAGCAAGUUGUCUAUUGCUCAUACACUAUCAAGCUCGCUGUGUUCCUUAAUUGUCAUUUCUAAAAUUGUCAAGAGUCCUCCUCCUCUCCAAUGGAGGAUGCUAAGCAGUUUCACCUUCCAUGCUCGCGGUCUUCUCAUUAUGUAAAAUUUAUUUGGUAAAUUUCGUAAAGUUUUAAUGGAGUCUUUGACCUCAUUCUUGCUUCUUUACAUUGUUGUUUAAAUUGAAUGAUCAUGAUUUGUGAAAAGCAAAAGUGAUACCGGCGUCAAGUUAUGAAAAUUUCAUAGCAUGUUGUCUAUAGUUUUUCUUGAGAUUUGUGCCUCAACGUCACUUUUUAAAAUUAUUCUUGUUGAGUGAUUUAAUUCUCAUGGAGUAGUUCUAAACAAAAUAUAUUGUUGAAAUGGACCUUGAGUGGUGUGAAGGGAGAUCCUGUCCAUUCUUUGCAAAAAAUGUCUUUUGGGGUUUUGUUGAAAUGUAUAGAAGGUGGAGGGUGAGGGUUCUUGUGACAUGAGGAAAUGACGACUUGAGGAGUUGACAAACCAAUUGUUUCUACUCAAGGAAUUUCUCACAGAUUAUCAGGUGGUCUAUAGCAAUUCUUGGAUUGCUUAUGCAGUAUGCACUAUCGAGCUCUGUGCAUUCCUUUGUUGUUAUUUCUAAAACUGUCAAGAGAUCUUGUCCUCUCCUAUCUAAGCAACACAUUACUACCCUGGAGGAUGCCAUGGUUUAAGAUUUGGCGGUUUCACCUUCCAUGCUCACAAUCUACAUUCUCAUUCUUGGUUUGCUUUUUUAUUUAAAUUGAAUGAUUCAUGUUUUGUGUGGAGUGAAUGCGAUACUGUGUUGAAAACUUCUAAAAAUUCAUGGUAUACUAUCUAUUGUUUUUCUUGAGAUUUUUGCCUUAUCCUCACUUUUCGAUGUUAUUCCUAUAGAUUGAUUUAAUUCUUGUGGAGUAGUUCCAAACAAAAUGUCUGGCUGAAAUAGACCUCAAGGGUGUGAAGGGAGAUCCAGUCUUAUCUAUGCGAUUGACUUCUUUUGGGUUUUGAUGAUAUGAUUAGAGGGUGGAGGGUGAGGGUUCUUGUGACAUGAGGAAAUGGCAAUUCGAACAGGUGACGAGCCAAUUGUUUUUACUCUUGGGAUUUCUCAUGGAUUACUGGAUGGUCCAUAGCAGUUCUUGGAUUGGUCAUGUACCAUCAAGCUCUGUGCAUUGCUUUAUUGUCAUUUCUAAAACUGUCAAGAGACCUCAUCCUCUCCUAUCUAAGCAACGUAUCACUACCUUGGAGGAUGUUAUAGUUUAAGAUUUAGAACUCAUCCUACAAAAAUUUCAUCCAAUACUAUCUUUAAUUUUUCUUUAGAUUUACACCUCAUCCUCAUUUGUUAUUGUUGUUCUUAUCGAGUGAUUUAAUUCUUGGGGACAGAUGAAUGUAAAUUGCUUUAGCUCCAUACAAAAUGUUUGGCUGAAAUGGACUGAGUGGUUUGAUGGAAUUUCUCAUCUUAUCUAUGAUGAAAUGUAUGGAUUGUAGAGGGUGAAUGUUGUUAUGACUUGAGGAAAUGGCGUUCAAGUAGUUGAUGAACCGAUUAUUCCUACUUUAGGGAAAUCUCACAAAUUAGCAGCUUGCCUCUAGCACUUCUUGGAUGGCUUAUGAAAUAAAUAGCUUUGUGCAUUCCCUUAUUAUGA